rnacentral:rRNA from 1 species
GAGGCCCAGCCUGCCCAGUGACUGUUCAACGGCCGCGGUAUUCUAACCGUGCAAAGGUAGCGUAAUCACUUGUCUUCUAAAUAAAGACUAGUAUGAAAGGCACCACGAGGACUAAACUGUCUCCUUUUUCUAAUCAGUGAAUCUAAUCUCCCCGUGAAGAAGCGAGGAUAAAAAUAUAAGACGAGAAGACCCUGUGGAGCUUAAAACAAUUUCAUGUUUUUGGUUGGGGUGACCGCGGAGAAAAACCCAUCCUCCACAGUGAAAAAUAAGUUACAACCUUGCGCAUUAAAAAAUUAACACUAUUGACCCAAUAUUUUGAUCAAUGAACCAAGUUACCCCAGGGAUAACAGCACAAUCCACUUCGAGAGCCCCUAUCGACAAGUGGGCUUAUGACCUCGAUGUUGGAUCGGGGUAUCCUAGUGGUGCAGCCGCUACUAAUGGU